rnacentral:rRNA from 1 species
AACGAACGCUGGCGGCAUGCCUAACACAUGCAAGUCGAACGAGACCUUCGGGUCUAGUGGCGCACGGGUGCGUAACGCGUGGGAACCUGCCCUUAGGUUCGGAAUAACUCCCCGAAAGGGGUGCUAAUACCGGAUAAUGUCUUCGGACCAAAGAUUUAUCGCCUUUGGAUGGGCCCGCGUUGGAUUAGCUAGUUGGUAGGGUAAAAGCCUACCAAGGCGACGAUCCAUAGCUGGUCUGAGAGGAUGAUCAGCCACACUGGGACUGAGGCACGGCCCAGACUCCUACGGGAAGCAGCAGUGGGGAAUAUAGGACAAUGGGCGAAAGCCUGAUCCAGCAAUGCCGCGUGAGUGAUGAAGGCCUUAGGGUUGUAAAGCUCUUUUACCCGGGAUGAUAAUGACAGUACCGGGAGAAUAAGCUCCGGCUAACUCCGUG